GCUCCCGUGGUUUAAUGGAUAAAAUAUCGGUUUGCGGUACCGGUGCUCCAGGUUCGAUUCCUGGCGGGAGCA
rnacentral:tRNA from 1 species